CCUGAGUUCACUCAGGAUCAGGAAAGCAAUGAAGCACAGUUAACUAUCCCAGAAAGACUGCAACUGAGGUCUCGUGCUAUUCAGCUGCAUAGACCCACCUGGCUGGCACAGAGAAAGGCCAACAGGCACCGUAUAAAAGGACCACCCAGGUCCCCAACCAUAACCAUCACAGACCUUUGGCUUCUUGGCUUUGCUUCUUCAUUUCCCAGAGUUUGGAGAUCUGAUCCAUCAUACACCAUGAGGGCUCUCUACCUUGCCGUGGUUAUCAUGAUGUUGCUUGCCACUGCUAUGAAUGUUGAAGGAUUUAAAUAUAAGCCAAGCUGUUCUGUAGAUGGAGGCCGAUGUGCCAAAUAUUGUGAGAAGACUGAAUAUGCCUCCUAUGUCCAUAAUUGCCCUCUCUGCUGUUUUAAGUACAAGAAGGAUGACUAAAAAGGGAGGAUGCCACUGAGAUGGGCCAAGAGGAUGUGGCCCAUUGCUUAGCUACCAAGAAGGCAUCAUGUUUGAUCUCCUUCAAUAAAUGCAAGAAGAAAAAUGCUCAGCUGUCUCUUGUGUCCUUCCUUGAGGGAGAGAUGCAUUGGUGGAUAAAAGAAAUCUCUCAGCCUA
rnacentral:lncRNA from 11 species